UGGGGAAUAUUGCACAAUGGACGAAAGUUUGAUGCAGCGACGCCGCGUGGAGGGUGUAGGCCUUCGGGUUGUGAACUCCUUUUUCUCGCGAAAAAGGCACAGUUUUGGCUGUGUUGAUGGUAGUGGGGGAAGAAGCGCCGGCUAACUACGUGCCAGCAGCCGCGGUAAUACGUAGGGCGCGAGCGUUGUCCGGAUUUAUUGGGCGUAAAGAGCUCGUAGGUGGUUCGUCGCGUCUGUCGUGAAAGCCAGCAGCUUAACUGUUGGUCUGCGGUGGGUACGGGCGGGCUUGAGGGCGGUAGGGGUGACUGGAAUUCCUGGUGUAGCGGUGGAAUGCGCAGAUAUCAGGAGGAACACCGAUGGCGAAGGCAGGUCACUGGGCCGUUACUGACACUGAGGAGCGAAAGCGUGGGGAGCGAACAGG
rnacentral:rRNA from 1 species